rnacentral:rRNA from 1 species
GAUGAACGCUGGCGGCGUGCCUAAUACAUGCAAGUCGAGCGAACAGACGAGGAGCUUGCUCCUCUGACGUUAGCGGCGGACGGGUGAGUAACACGUGGAUAACCUCCCUAUAAGACGGGGAAAACUUGGGGAAACCGGAGCUAAUCCCGGAUAAUAUAUUGAACCGCAUGGUUCAAUAGUGAAAGACGGUUUUGCUGUCACUUAUAGAUGGAUCCGCGCCGCAUUAGCUAGUUGGUAAGGUAACGGCUUACCAAGGCAACGAUGCGUAGCCGACCUGAGAGGGGGAUCGGCCACACUGGAACUGAGACACGGUCCAGACUCCUAAGGGAGGCAGCAGUAGGGAAUCUUCCGCAAUGGGCGAAAGCCUGACGGAGCAACGCCGCGUGAGUGAUGAAGGUCUUCGGAUCGUAAAACUCUGUUAUUAGGGAAGAACAAAUGUGUAAGUAACUAUGCACGUCUUGACGGUACCUAAUCAGAAAGCCACGGCUAACUACGUG